CUACGUGCCAGCAGCCGCGGUAAUACGUAGGGUGCGAGCGUUGUCCGGAAUUAUUGGGCGUAAAGAGCUUGUAGGCGGUUUGUCGCGUCUGCUGUGAAAGGCCGGGGCUUAACCCCGUGUAUUGCAGUGGGUACGGGCAGACUAGAGUGCAGUAGGGGAGACUGGAAUUCCUGGUGUAGCGGUGGAAUGCGCAGAUAUCAGGAGGAACACCGAUGGCGAAGGCAGGUCUCUGGGCUGUAACUGACGCUGAGAAGCGAAAGCAUGGGGAGCGAACAGGAUUAGAUACCCUGGUAGUCCAUGCCGUAAACGUUGGGCACUAGGUGUGGGGGACAUUCCACGUUUUCCGCGCCGUAGCUAACGCAUUAAGUGCCCCGCCUGGGGAGUACGGCCGCAAGGCUAAAACUCAAAGAAAUUGACGGGGGCCCGCACAAGCGGCGGAGCAUGCGGAUUAAUUCGAUGCAACGCGAAGAACCUUACCAAGGCUUGACAU
rnacentral:rRNA from 1 species